GCCAUCACAUAAAGUCGUUUUACCAGGAGACGCCACAUGUCCCGUUACCCUCAACGCAGCGUAUCAUUAAAGAGUUGGGGUGUUGGGCUUUGAUCGUGAACUGGUGUGGUUGGGCUCUGAAGUCAGUCAUAUCUAUCAGGCCCGCUUAGAUGAAGUCUCCUCUAACCCUAACACCGCUGAAUAGAACAAAAGAAGUAUGACUCUCCUCUUCGUGCGGCGGCGUGACGGUGACCUCUGCGUUUCUUCUCAUGACCUGAAACAGUAUGGUUUAUGUCUUCCUCUUUAAUCCCAUUAAUUCGCUCUCCCACGAUGUGUUUUCAAAGCAUUCUUCGAUCUGAAAGGCGGUGUGGUUAAGGUUGUUGUUCUACGGCUGAAGCAGAGAGGUAUAUGGGGAAGAAGAGGAAGCGAGAGAACAAAGGUCAAUUACUUCCCAUCGGGAAUGACCCGGUUCAUCAUGCUGAGAAGUAUCCAACUCCACCUGCAGUCUACUCUGGGAAACAUGGAUCUGUUAUCAUAUUAAACCUGUAACCUAGAAUUAGCUCAACAAAAAAUUGUAUGUGAAAAAACAUGUCUGUUUCUUUAGAUUAAGGGGUGUUAUUCAAUUAAGAAUUCAAUGUAACUGUAGUUAGGAGUCUUUCAGUGGAUUUGAUUGGAUUCAUGGAAAAGAAAUUCAGUUCCAAACGUUUAAGUUUAACCGUUUUUGGAUU